rnacentral:tRNA from 1 species
GGACCGCUAGCUCAGUCGGUAGAGCAACGGACUCUUAAUCCGUGGGUCAAGGGUUCAAUCCCCUUGCGGUCCA